GGGGGCAAGAGGUUCGACUCGAGCGCAGCGAGAGAACGUUGCGUCAGCAACGGCCCGCAGGGCGAGCCACGCAGUGGCGAGUCAUCCUCUAUCACCGACCA
rnacentral:sRNA from 4 species